UUACAUUCCAGAGAGAAAAGGCAAUGCUCUGGCUGAAAAGACCCGGCUGCAGUGGAGGACACUCCCCGUUCACCACAGAGCUCCCAGUGUCCCAGCAGACAAUAGGCCUCUGUGCAGCCCCAUCUCCUAAUGCAAGGACUGCUUACAUGUUUUCAUCUUUGGAAACUUCAAACUGCUUAGUCCCCAGGAGCGGCUGUACAAGGGAGCGUCUGUCUAGGAUGGAAGGGGAGAAGAAGAGAGUCAGAAGCAAAUGUGACCAGAGACCCUGGAGAAAGCAUGUGCAUGGAAAUAAGGGAAGUUGUGAUGAUGGGGAACAAAGAGCACUUUGAAUUCCCUGGAUCCUGCUUUCCACCAGCCAUAUGAUUGUGGAUAAUCUAUUUCACCUUCUGAAACUCCAUUUUCUGACCUGUAGCACAGGGAUUAAGUUGUGGGGAUUAAAUGAUAUGAUGAAUAUAAAAGCCAUGAGUGGAAUUCCCUGUUGGUCCAGUGGUUAAAAAUUCACAUACUAAUGAAGGGGACAUGGGUUCCAUCCUUGGUCCACAAAGAUCCCACAUGUUGCAGAGCAAUGAAGCCUGUGUACCGCAACUACUGAGCCUGAGCACCUACAACCUGUGCUCCACAACAAGAGAAGCCACAGCAGUGAGAAGCCUGUGCACCUCAACGAAGAGCAGCCCCCAUUCACUGCAACUAGGGAAAGUCCAUGUGCAGCAAUGAAGAACCAAUGCGGCCAAAAAUAAAUAAAUGAAAGCCGUGAGUACAGUGCCUAGUUUACAGUAUGACCUCAAUCAAUGUUAAUUUCCUUCCAUUUGCCCCUUUUGUCAAAUAAGUAAGAAGCUUUUUCACCUACAGAGAAGUAAAUCAAGGGUCAGCAUAUAUAUAUAACCAGUGGACCAAAUAAGCCCAUCAUUUGUUUUUAUAAAUAAAGUUUUAUUGGAACACAGCCAUGCCCAUUUGUUUACUAUUGCCUAUGACUGCUUAGUUGCUACAGAGACCAUAUCUGGCUCUAACAGAAAAAAUUUACUGAUUCCUGACCUAAGCUAUUCAAGUCCAAAAUCCAUAUUUAUAGCUUUGGAGCAGAGCUCUAUU
rnacentral:lncRNA from 1 species